rnacentral:rRNA from 1 species
AAGCGGUGGAGCAUGUGGUUUAAUUCGAUGCAACGCGAAGAACCUUACCUACUCUUGACAUCCAGAGAACUUAGCAGAGAUGCUUUGGUGCCUUCGGGAACUCUGAGACAGGUGCUGCAUGGCUGUCGUCAGCUCGUGUUGUGAAAUGUUGGGUUAAGUCCCGCAACGAGCGCAACCCUUAUCCUUUGUUGCCAGCGAUUCGGUCGGGAACUCAAAGGAGACUGCCAGUGAUAAACUGGAGGAAGGUGGGGAUGAC